UCUGAAACGUCGGCCGUCUCGGUACGGCAGC
rnacentral:piRNA from 1 species